UGUUACUGCCGGACCGGGCAAGGAUGAGGGAGAAAGUUCAGAAAGGUGAGCGGAGGACAGAGUGGGGCAAACAGCGAGAGGGAGAGGAAAACGGACAGAGAGAAAGAAGGUAAUCAGAACAGAUGGUGAAGAGAACAAAGGAUCAGUAGGAUCAGUUGCUAAAGAGAGGCCAUCCUCUUUUCCUUCAAUUGACUGCCUCUCAAGGUUUGUUCAAACUGGUUGCAGAUAUUCAGCAGUCUGUGGAGUGAGAGUGGGUCUGAAUAGGUGGCAAUAUUGUCCAUGAACAGGGAGAUGUAUCUGUAUGCCAAGGAAGUCAGGAAGGAGGCACAAAUGUCUUUGUCGAGGUUUAUCCUGAGCAGCUGUUCUUAAUGCAUAUCCCAUAUGCAUCAAUAGACUUUGUGCUCUACAGGCUGUUCUCAUGCACACCCACUAAGACAAACAUAUUAUGCUGCUGAAAAAUCCAGUGAAAGACACACUUUGGUCUGCAAGGAAUCAUCCACAAGCAAUGCUGCAAAUUCAUUCCAACAUGCAGGAGUAUAUGCUGAAGGAUGCACAAAGAUUCUGUAGAGAAAGGCCACACUUGAGUUCCUCCCGUCACUGGGCACUGAGGGACUGGGCCCAAAGUAAUAACCUGUCAAAUGUUACACUGAAGUAAUGUUUGGGACUGAAACUGACGCGUGUUAACAUUAUGAAAGUGUGGUAAGCAAAGGUAAUAAUAACAUACUCUGAACAGUGAAUGAAUAAAGCAUAUUUUGGGUGAGGAAAAA